AUGGCCACCGCCACCGCCGCGCUCCACCUCCUCCUCCCCACCCGCCGCCGGGGCCGCCUCCUCGUCUCCCGCGCGUGCCAGGCCGACUCCUCCACCACCACGUCCCGCCGCGGCCUCAUUGCCGACGCCGCCACCGCGGCCGUGGCCGCCGCCGCCGCGCCGCUGCUGCUUCCCAGUAUCCCCGCGGCGCGCGCCGAGGACCUCUCCGAGUGGGAGCGCGUCGGGCUCCCCAUCGACCCCGGCGUCGUCCUGCUCGACAUCGCCUUCGUCCCCGACGACCCCUCCCACGGAUUCCUCCUGGGGACGAGGCAGACGAUCCUGGAGACCAAGGACGGCGGCCGCACCUGGUUCCCGCGCUCCAUCCCGUCGGCGGAGGACGAGGACUUCAACUACCGGUUCAACUCCGUCAGCUUCAGCGGCAAGGAGGGGUGGAUCGUCGGCAAGCCGGCCAUCCUGCUGCACACCAAGGACGCCGGCGACAGCUGGGAGAGGAUCCCGCUCAGCGCCCAGCUCCCAGGCGACAUGGUGUACAUCCAGGCUACCGGGGAGCAGAGCGCGGAGAUGGUGACCGACGAGGGAGCCAUCUACGUGACCUCCAACCGCGGCUACAACUGGAAGGCCGCCGUGCAGGAGACUGUCUCGGCCACCCUCAACAGAACAGUUUCAAGCGGCAUUAGCGGUGCGAGUUACUACACCGGCACCUUCAACACGGUGAACCGCUCGCCUGACGGCAGCUACGUCGCUGUCUCCAGCCGCGGCAACUUCUUCUUGACAUGGGAGCCUGGGCAGCUAUAUUGGCAACCGCACAACAGGGCUGUGGCGCGGCGGAUACAGAACAUGGGUUGGAGAGCAGAUGGUGGGCUCUGGCUCCUCGUGCGUGGUGGUGGACUCUUCCUCAGUAAAGGAACAGGGAUAGUUGAGGACUUUGAGGAAGCGUCGGUGCAAAGCCGGGGGUUUGGAAUCCUGGACGUGGGCUACCGCUCAAAGGAUGAGGCGUGGGCUGCCGGUGGGAGCGGCGUCUUGCUGAAAACAACUAACGGCGGCAAGACCUGGGUGCGCGACAGGGCCGCAGAUAACAUCCCCGGGAACCUCUACUCCGUAAAGUUCAUUGGCGACAACCAAGGGUUUGUGCUCGGGAACGACGGCGUCUUACUCCGAUAUGUUGGCUGA
rnacentral:rRNA from 1 species